rnacentral:lncRNA from 1 species
ACCAAAUGGGAUGAGAAGAAAUAGGAAUUUUCAGAAGAUAUACCUAGCCAAUGAAGAUUUAAAUUCAAGAGAUGUUUUCUGAGCGUCCUCUGUGGGCCACUCGCUUUUCCUUUCCCAUAUGUGAGCUCAUUUAUUUUCAUUCUUAACGAUAAACACUGAGGUUGCUAUGAAUAGGUUACCUUCUCCAAGAUGUUCUCCUUGGCCAGCACAGACUUGGGAAGAACACUCCCAUUUCAGAAUACCAGCAAUUCCAAAUGGAAUGAGAAGCAGAUGGUUUUGAGACCUGAAGGAAGUCUCCCGGCUUGAGCUGAAAGCGAGCAGAACCCCGGAGCUGUGGGAGCCAAACGCCACACAGAAAUCUCUGCCCAUCUCAGGAGAAACCGAACUUGGGGAAAAUGUUUGCAGUACACUUGAUGGCAUUUUACUUCAGCAAGCUGAAGGAGGAUCAGAUCAAGAAGGUACGGACUCAGCAGAGCUGAGAAAUGCCUGGUUCGUUCUUCACUGACAAAA